UAGAGUUUGAUCCUGGCUCAGGAUGAACGCUAGCGACAGGCCUAACACAUGCAAGUCGAGGGGCAGCACGGUGUAGCAAUACACGGGUGGCGACCGGCGCACGGGUGAGUAACGCGUAUGCAACCUGCCUACUACAAGGGGAUAACCCGUUGAAAGACGGACUAAUACCCUAUAACACAGGGAAUCCGCAUGGAUAUAUUUGUUAAAGAUUUAUCGGUAGUAGAUGGGCAUGCGUUCCAUUAGCUUGUUGGUGAGGUAACGGCUCACCAAGGCAACGAUGGAUAGGGGAACUGAGAGGUUGAUCCCCCACACUGGAACUGAGACACGGUCCAGACUCCUACGGGAGGCAGCAGUGAGGAAUAUUGGUCAAUGGACGAGAGUCUGAACCAGCCAAGUCGCGUGAAGGAAGACGGCCCUACGGGUUGUAAACUUCUUUUGUAAGGGAAUAAAGGUCGGUACGUGUACCGGUUUGCAAGUACCUUACGAAUAAGGAUCGGCUAACUCCGUGCCAGCAGCCGCGGUAAUACA
rnacentral:rRNA from 1 species